CACCCUCGAGUCUGGUCUCGGCUCUUCUGUCUGCUUUGGUAGAUGGGACAGUUGCAAAUGUGACAGGAAAGGGGCUUGAAAAGUGCCUGAGUGUCGGGACGCGUCCUGUUCUGCAGCCCUUGGGGACCCAGGAGCCACCAUGGUGGAAUGAGUCUGGGCUAGCCUGUGGGAUGAAGGCCCAGCGGCCUCCUGCUGACAGCUGGGCGAAAGCCAGACACUGAGUGAAGCUGGCAGACAGCUAAUGCACUUGUGAGCCGGAUGGCGUCAUGUGGAGCAGCGACGCACAUCUUGCUGAGCCCUGAUCCAGUGACCAACUCACAGGCUUGUGCACACCUGACCAAGCUGGACGUAAGCCCUUGAAACCCACUGUGGUCAGGGUGGUGAUGGCGGAUGAGGAGACACAGCACCCGGGUGUCAGAGGAGGAGAAGCCAUUUCUGUUUGGGGGCAGGGAGCGCCAUUUAAUCUGAGUUGUCAAGGCAAACAAGGAGAGGGGCCAUCCCGGCAGGAAGAACCAGCAUGUGCAGGCGCAGAGGUGGAACAGACUAGAAGCUGUAUCGCACAGUUCCCAGACUGGAGGUGGAGGACCAGAGGCCCCUGUCUGCUCUGCCCCUUCCACCAGCCUGCCUGGGCUUCCUGGUCACCAAGUGCCUCCAGCCCUAUCCUGUCCUCCUCUCGCCCUGCGGGCCCAGACACAAGGAAGCUGCAGUCCCACGGGGGGCGCCUCCAGCCCUUUCCUGGGAGAAGAGAAGAAAGAAAUAACAGUCAGCCCGGAGAACGAGAGAUUUGGGAAGGGGCUUCUGAGGGACAGCCGAGGCCGGGAGGCCCAGCAUGCCACCUCUGGAACGCCACACAGAGUGGGCAAACCCACAGGGCAGAACACAGAAUGGUGGCGGCCAGAGCUGGGUGGGGGGUGGGGGGAUGACCCCUUAAUGGGCACGGGGUCUCCCUGUGGGAGAUGAAAACGUUCCUCUGGACUGUUCACUUUAAAAUGCUUAAUUUUCCAUUUGUGAAUUUCACCUCUGCAAAACAGUGUUGGCUGUUGCUGUUCUUCGCUGGACAUCUCUCCAAUGCUGAUUAAGCCGGGCACACGGACGGACAGGGCAGAGGCAUCUCCUCCUCUCUUGGAGCCGAUACACAUUCAUGUAUUCAUUCAAUAAACUCCCGGCUCUGAGGCGACGCCCUAGCACGGCCCCUGACUGCCCUCUUCCUGCUGACGCCCGGCCUGGCUGCCUCAGGCUGAGGCCCCUGCCAGAUGCCCGCUGUCCCAGGAUGCCACACACGUCCCCCCCAUCUCUCCUGCUGGGCCCCCAGGGCAGCUCAGAGGUGGCCUGUAGGGCUGGGCUGAGCGCUCCAAGAUGCCCAGAGCCCAGCCCAUGACUCCCUCAUGCCUCCUCACCCAGAAUCCGAGGGCUUUGGGCCGAGUGGUCCCUGCAGUGCCCUCUAGCCCACCUGCCAGGGCCUGUUCUGCAGCUCUGUGACUCGAUGCGUGAUGAUAUUUAAGUGUGCAGGGAUUCUAUUCUGGGUGUCUAGGAUUCCGUUUGGAUUAUAUGACUUGUUUCUCUGAUCCCAUUAUUUUAUUCUAUGAUCCAGGCACGCUAGUACGUUAUUACUGUCACGAGUGGGUGAUUCCCCAGGUCCUGUGGAGAAGCUGCAGAGGCCGGGGUCACAGGGAAAAGAGGGAGAACGUGUUGGGGGAGGGCCAGCUGCCCUGUGGACACACACAUGGCUCCUCCUCUAGGCUGGCGUCCGGGCACAGGGGUCAGUAGCUGGGGCACCAGAUGAAGCCUCUCGGGUCAGGGGCUGCAGCGUGUGGUGCACAUCCGCAGAGUCCACAGGAUGGGCUCCGUGCCCCCAGCUGUCACCUGGCCCCAGCACUGCCUGCCCUCUGGGCCCAA